CAGAAAGUUUAGGUUAUAACCUGGAAUGCAUCACUAACAAUUUGAUUUGAGAUUUUAUAAUAUAGUUGAGAAGGUGGUACAAUAUCAGAAAGUUACCUCAACAUCAGCUACGGCGACCCUGAACCAGCCUCCUUGAAAGAUCGGUGCUGGAGGAUUGCUGCCGGCAUCCAUGUGGCCAGACAUGAAUUUGCUCCACGUUUGCCCCAUUUAUUAUCUCGCCCUCUUUCUUUCAGUUCUGAGCUUUGUAUGGAUGGAUAGAUAGAUAGAUUGAUACUGUGUGUCUGUGAGUAUCAACGGAUCCUGCUUCAAACCAUCGACUCCCUGACGAAUUUUGGUUUCUGUCCUAUCCCUGGUAAUGUCCGCAGCAUCUCACAUAUUUCUCUAAUUUCUCUUCAGAAUCUCUGUCGAGAUUAUCCUCGCUUAUUGGAUUACUGCUGUUGAACGGUUCCUCGCAUUGUCUCUUCUAUUGUGCUUAGUCCUUGACAGGGCCGAAUUUAUGCACCAGUGAGGUUCUGCAGUUAACCGUCUCCUUGUCCUACAAUCUCCCGCAAAGACGGUAAAAAUUGCUGGUAAACA